rfam:Thalassiosira oceanica strain CCMP1005 To_g25136, whole genome shotgun sequence.
AGGAUGGACCAUACCACAGUGACAGCACCGCUUCCCGUCUGCUCAGCGAAGUUAAGCACUGUCGGGUCGAGUUAGUACUACGGUGGGGGACCACGUUGGAAUCCUCGAUGUUCAUCUUU